GACGUAGGGGGCCAGCGUUGUUCGGAAUUACUGGGUGUAAAGGGUUCGUAGGCGGUGUGGCAAGUCGGGAGUGAAAUCUCUGGGCUCAACUCAGAGACUGCUUCCGAAACUGCUGUGCUGGAGUGUGGGAGAGGCGCGUGGAAUUCCCGGUGUAGCGGUGAAAUGCGCAGAUAUCGGGAAGAACACCCGUGGCGAAGGCGGUUCUCUGGGACGGUACUGACGCUGAGACGCGAAAGCGUGGGGAGCGAACAGG
rnacentral:rRNA from 1 species